ACCUCUCCUCUCCUCUAGAUCCAUCCCUGAUUUGUCUCCCCUUACAAAAGAGUGGGCCUUCCAUGAACAUCAACUGGACAUGGUACAAGGUGUAUUAAAAUAAGGCAUAAACUCUCAUACCAGGGCCCAGUGAAUCAACCCAGAAGGAAGAAAAGGGUCCCAAGAGCUGGCAAAAGAGUCAGAGACACCCCUGCUCCCACUAUUAGGAGAUUCCAAACCACCAGUUAUAACAUACGCAAAGGACUUAGUGCAUAUCCAUAAAAGCUCUGUGAUUGUCACCUCUGUGACAUCCCUGUGAGCCUCAUGAGCCCUGAUUAGCUGAUUCCACCCCUUGGCUCCUACAAUUCCUCUGCCCCAUCUUCUGGGUUGGGGGGUAGGGGGAAGCAGGUAUUCCCAGAGCCCUCUGCGGAGGAACUGGAAGGAAACCUUCAAACUGGGCUCUUUCAUGACUAAUAUUUGGGUGUGGGUCUCUGUAUCUGCUCCCAUCAUCUGUCAACUGGUUCACUUGAAUUAGUGAAUGCAAACCCAAAGAAAGGAAGGUUUUUGUUUGUUUGUUUUUUCCUGGAAAAGAAGGAAGAGGAAGAGGAAGGGUAGAGGAGGAAGAGGAGGAAGAAGAGGAAGAGGAGGAAAAGAAAAAGUCACUUCAAAGCAAAAGUACCCAGUGGAAAACAGGAAGGCACUUUAUAUUGUCAAAUUGAACAUUUUUACAUAAGAGAUAUUUUGUGAAUGCAUAGAAUAUCAUAGCACUAUGCAGACAUGAGUUCUGGAUCUUAUCUCAAAGGCCAUUAUACCCAUUUCAGAGGCAAGGAGACUGAGGCUUAUCCAAGCAAUUAUGAACAGAUUCUGGAGCUGUGCCUGGUCCACUACACUUCUCUCAUAUCCUCAGAAGCCCGAGAAAGCAACUGUAUGCUGUGGCUACUGAAGCCAUGAUCUCACAGCAGCUGGGGUGACCACAUGAAGUAGUCAUAGAUGAGGGAGAUGAUUUCCAAGGCCCACCCUUUACUGAGAAGCAAGUUACGGGGAGGAAGAGCCAUUUUUCUUUGGGACUAUAGUCACAGGAAGGCUUUGAUGCUCCAGUGGAUGGCCCCACACUGAUGCAAUAUGAACAGUACUAGUUAGACUUACUGGUUUAUAAAAACAAACAGACAAACAUAGAAAGCAUAACAGAAGACAUGGAGUAAGACGAGGAAGUGCUGAAGAGGAUAUGGGAGGGUUUGGAGGGAUAGAAAUGGGGAGUGUGUAUGAUCAUAUUUCAUUGUAUAUACAGUGCAUGUGUAUGAUCAUAUUUCAUUGUGUAUAUGGAACAUGUAUAUGAUCAUAUUUCAUUAUACAUAUGGGACAUAUUAUGAUCAUAUUUCAUUGUAUAUAUGGUGCAUGUGUAUGAUCAUAUUGCAUUGUAUAUAUGGGGUGUGUAUAUGAUCAUAUUUUAUUGUAUAUAUGGCGCAUGUGUAUGAUCACAUUUCAUUGUAUAUAGGUAUGAAACUCUAAAAGAAUAAAAAUAGAUGAAGUAGUUCAAGAAAACAAGAAACAGGACAAGAAUAUACCUCAGAGACAGGAAAGGAGAAUCUAACUGCAGAGCAUUCCAUUAGAAUACAAAAGAAACCCAGGGCUGGUGGGGUGAAGGAAAAAUGGCCCCCAGAGGCUCUAGCAUUUGAAUGCUUGGCCUCCGAUGGUGGUGCUGUUUAGGAAGGUUACAGAACCCUGAGGAGGUGCAGCCUUGCUGGAGGAAGUACUUCAGUGAGAGAGGGCGUUGAGGGCACAUAGCCUCGGCCCACUUCUGCCCACUUUCUGUUCUCUUUGUGUUUCCUGACCUAGGCCAGUAUCACCAGCCUCUGCCUUGCCUCCAUCUGCCACCGUGGACCCCAUCUCUCAGGACCCGUGAGCUAAAACAAACCCUUGCUUCCUGAGGUGGCUUUUGGUCAGGGUGUUUUAUCAUAGCUACAGAGAAGCAACUAAUACACUCUGCUGGCUUAUAGGUUGACUUUUGAAAAAAACAACAGAAAAAGAGAGAUGAGAAAGUGAUCAACUGUGACCGUAGAUUGGAUGUACAGUUUAAUCUGUAAAAGAGCAGAUGCUAUGGAUGGAAGGAGUAUGUCUCUGGAAUGGGUAUUUUUUGGAAACUUUGAAAUUAUUCUGAAGUAAUAAUCCCUCUAGCAAACUAAUGUACAAGAAAGAAAAGUAAAAAUAGUUAAAGGAUUAAUUCUAAAUUGUAUACCAGGG
rnacentral:lncRNA from 1 species